rnacentral:lncRNA from 1 species
AUUAAAGCACACAUUAUCAGAUUUUUUUAGACCUAAGGGAAGACACCCAAAAAACGGUGCACCUAUAUGAGAUCGAGGAUCUCUCUUUCCCCAUUCGGAGAAGAAACUCAGCAGCCUCCCAUCUCAGUAGAAAAAAAAUCAAAAUAGACUCUCUUUCACCCAAUUCCUAUAAACUUUCUCUCAUCUAUAUUCACUCAUUUUUAUUCUCUCAUUUACACACGCACCUUCACGCAUACACGCACAGAGAAUGAAAAGGAUGGGAGAUUGAUUCUUUGCACAAAGUAACAAAUCUAAAAAUUAACCAAAACACCGGAAGAGUUACAAAGGGAAAAGCUGGGCAGCAACUUCAAAAAGCAAGAGGAACGAAGAGCAGAAUUGUAAAAUUAUUGAGGGGGAAGGGACAGUCAAAUCCUGAUUUCGAAUUUUGAAACCUUUUGAUUUUAGUUUCAAAUUUCGGCUGUUACUUCUGAUUUUUGAUUUGGAGUCCGAUGGAGUUUGAUUGAGGUCAUUGUUCGAGCUCCAGCCAAUGAUUUUGUUUGGGACGUGUCGUUGUCCAUUUUCAAAUUGAAGUUUUUCUUUAAAAGGUUAGAUCUCUUUCAACAGAAAGGUCCACUGAUGACUUCUUAUUUUAAAUUAAUGCAUAACUUUGUAACUUUAUGUAUCUGGAUGAAUUUUCCUUGGUUUCAUAAUUAUCUCUUUUGUUGCUGCUUAUAAUACUACUUAUUGUGGAUUAAAGUGCCUAAAAAAUAUUUUUUUAAUUUUAUUUUGAGGCUUAAAACAGUAAAAGGGCAUAUUUGUUUGAGCGGGAUUUUUAUCGUACUCGCAAGUUGUUAUUUCUUGUUGAAUUUGUAGGAUAUUGAAAUUUAGCCGUGAAAUUGUUUCCCUUCGCUUCAUGUUUAUUUUUUUAGUGUUUUGAUUUCUUUUGUUUAUAAUGUCCUUCUCCAGAUGUUACUCUUAUUAGGUGUUUAGGUUAAUUGAACAAUUAAAAUUUAGCUUUUGACAUUUAUGGACUAAAUAGGGCUGUGAGAUUUGAUAAUUGAAAUUUGAAAGUUGGAUAAAAAACAAAUUCGACUAGAGCCGCUAGCCCAGUCCAACAGAAUGCAAUAACUGGACCUUUCUUUGUAAAUUCAUUUAGCUAGUCACUUCACAUAGGAAAUGAACAACUUUGAACAUUCGUAGUUUGAUUUAGGCGCGUUUUACAAUAAAUUAUCGCGACUAUGAGUACGGUUCCCGUGGUAUAGUCACGAUAACUAAUUUCCAACUUCGGGGGUGCAUUUCAUGUGACCCAAUCAUAACAACUUCGAAUACUAAUAAAAUUAACAUGUCACAAAUCGCGGGUGCAUUUCAUGUAGCAUGGUUUGUGAUGUGUCCCAAAACAACAAGUGUACGAUAAUCGUAACUUGUUCAAGAAAUAAAUCCAUAAAUCCUAAAAGCGGUUUUAAAAUAAUUAAAAGCGGUUAUGAAGUUAAAAAUGCACAAUACGUUUGAAACAUGUAAUAAAUCAGAUAAUAUGCCAAUUAUUAAUAGUUAAAGCGACCGUGCUAGAACCACGGAACUCGGGAAUGCCUAACACCUUCUCCCAAGUUAACAAAAUUCCUUAGUUAGAAUUUCUGGUUUCGCAAACUUUUAAAUAAAGUCCAUUUUCCCCGAUUUGAGAUAUUAUUUUAAAAAUAAAUCGAUGACUUGGGACACCAAAUAAACUAUUCCAAGUGGCGACUCUGAAAAUAAAUAAAAUAAUUCCAUUUUGAAUAAUGUCACUUUAAUUGGAAAAACUCCGUUAUAUACCCCUCAGGUAGAAAAAGGAGGUGUGACCCCAGGUAUUAUACCUCCUGAUUGCGAGACCUACAUAGAGACCGCGAAUAAUAAAUAAUCACUGCCCUCAAAAUAGUCUACACGAAUGCGAUGGUUACCAGACCUGACACUUCGCGAAUGCGUGCACACCUACCUGAUCGUGUAGUCUUAAAGCCCGACGCCCUAGCUAACAUCUCCUCUACGCGAACGGGUUACCCUACUCAUGAUCGCGCUAACUUGAGCCUCUCAAAGCUAGACGAAUGCGAGCUUAUUAGCGCAAACAUGAAGAAUAAAUGACCGCUGCUAGCAACAUUUCUUCGUGAUCGCGUCCCUUUCUUUGCGGUCACGAAAGAGGAAACCAGAUGCACAAAAAUCAACAGUCCAACAAUGAAGAAAAAUGAUCUGACACCCAUUCAGAACACACCCGAGGCACUCGAGACCUCGUCCAAACAUACCAACAAGUCCUAAAACACAACACAAACUCGCUUGAAGCCUCAAAUCACAUCAAAUAAUAUCAAAACCAUGAAUCGUGCAUCAAUUCAAGCCUAAUGAACCAAUGAGCUUCCAACUUCUAAAAUUAAUGUCGAAUCAUAUCAAACCAAUUUUGAAUGAUCUCACAUUUUGCACACAAGUCAUAAAUGACACAACAGACCUAUGCCAACUCCCAGAAUCGAAUUCGAACCGUUAUCGACAAAGUCAACUCUCGGUCAAACUUCUCAGCCUUCCAAACCUUCAACUUUCCAACUUUCGCCAAAAACUAUCAAAUCGACCUACAGGCCUCCAAAUUAACAUUUGAACAUAUGUCUAAUUCCAAAAUCACCAUAUGAAGAUAUCAGAAUCAUCAAAACUCCAUUCCAAAUUCGUAUACAUAAAAGUCAAACAUCGAUCAACUCUUCCAACUUAGGAUUCCAAACUUGGGUCUAUGUGUCCUAAUUCACUCUGAAACAUCCCCGGAACCAAACCAACCACCCCAAAAAGUCACAUAACCACAAAUAAAUAUAGAAUAAGCAAUAAAUAGGGGAAUGUGACUACAAUACACAAAACGGCCGACCGGGUAGUUAUAUUUCCGAAUCCAUUGUUGGAUCCGCCUCUAAAAAUACACGCAUACAAUCCAAUUAAGAUUGCUCCUCCAUCAUUCUUUGUACCAGAUGAGAUGCAGAUUAGAGAUAAUAAACACUAGCAUAUUCUUAUGUAUAUGACACUGCAUAUAAGUAAUUAUACUUGUAACAAGAAUGUGUAAGGGGGAGAAGAUGCAAAAUGGGUUGCUUCUUUAUUUUUUACUUUACUAGUUUAUACGAACGUGUGUUGCACGUUAAUAAUAGCACGUAAUAAUUUAGUAUAUUAUUUAUAUGAAGGAACAUCAAAGUCAACGAAUGAUACAAUUAUAUAUAUANNNNNNNNNNNNNNNNNNNNNNNNNNNNNNNNNNNNNNNNNNNNNNNNNNNNNNNNNNNNNNNNNNNNNNNNNNNNNNNNNNNNNNNNNNNNNNNNNNNNNNNNNNNNNNNNNNNNNNNNNNNNNNNNNNNNNNNNNNNNNNNNNNNNNNNNAUAUAUAUAUGCAAAUACAAUCCAAUAUUUGGAUUGCUUGCCCUUGCACUUUAUUAUUGUCAUUAAAAAACAUAAUCAUAAAAGGGUAGCCGGUAUACAAAGCAACCCUCAUUCACGCAUGGUCUGGAGAAGGGACAUACCCAAGGGAUGUGAUGUAGAUAACUAUCCUAAUGCAAGUAUUAGUGGUUACUUUCACGAACUGUUCCGUGACAAAUAGGUCAUACAUAGACCACUUUACUAUUGCUCAAAGUCUCCCCUUCAACAAAAUUCAAGCAUAUUGAAAAUUAUUUUCGGUUAAAUUUAAAAGGAUAUCUUUCAUUUUGUGGAGGAAAAAGUUAAAUUCAGGGAAUAAAUAUAUGCUUGAAAGUAUAUUGACCCAUCAUGAUUUCUGCAUAUAUAAUGUUAUUAUAUUAAAAUCUCUACAUACCAUUCUUGUACCAUUACAUAAUUCGUUUGAUUAUCUAAGUUUCUCAGUAGCAUAAUGGGUGCAUUUUCUUUAAAUUUAACUUGUAUGCGAUGAAAGAUCAAUCCCAUUUUAAAUUAAUAUUAUCUUCAGUUAUCCAAUUAAAGCAGCAACCAAUUUACUUUUUAAAAAACUAAUAAGAAUACACGAUAUCCAAAAUUGCAAUAAUUAUAGGGGUAUCAAGUUGUUAGUCACACUAUGAAGGUUUGGGAGAGGGUGGUGGAGGCCAGGGUGAGGAGGUGUGUGUCUAUUUUUGAGAAUCAGUUUGGAUUCAUGCCAGGAUGUAAGUGAAUCAUCUGGUUAGGAAAUUAAUGGAACAGUAUAGGGAGAGGAAGAAGGACUUAUAUAUAAUGUUUAUUUACCUUGAGAAAGCGUACGAUAAAGUCCUGAGGGAGGUCCUUUGGAGGUGUUUGGAGGCUAGUGGUGUUCCGGUAGCGUACAUUAGGGUGAUAAAGGAUAUGUAUGAUAAUGCUAAGACUCGGGUGAGGACUAUCGGUGGAGACUCAGAGCAUUUCCCUGUGGUAAUAGGGUUGACCCAGGGAUCGACUCUUAGCCCGUUUUUAUUUGCCUUAGUGAUGGAUGUACUGUCGCGACACAUCCAAGGGGAGGUGCCUUGGUGCAUGCUAUUUACCGAUGAUAUAGUAUUGGUUGACUAGACACAAAGCGGAGUUAACGCGAGUUUGGAGGUUUGGAGAUGGACCCUGGAGUCUAAAGGUUUCAAAUUGAGUAUAACCAAAAAAAAUACUUGGAGUGCAAAUUCUGUGACGGACCCAUGAAGCAGACGUAGAGGUAAAUCUUGAUGCUCAUGUUAUCCCUAAAAGAGCGAGUUUUAAGCAUCUCGGGUCUAUUAUCCAAGGUACAGGGAGAUUGACGAAGAUGUCGCAUAUCACAUCAGAGCAGGAUGAAUGAAGUGGAGUCUUGCUUCCGGUGCUGUAUAUGAUAAGAAUGUGUCACCCAGACUUAAGGAAAAGUUUUAUAGAGUGGUGGUUUGACUGGCUAUGUUGUAUGGGGCUGAGUGUUAGCCAGUUAGGAACUCCCACAUGCAGAAGAUGAAAGUAGUAGAGAUAAGAAUGUUGAGGUGAAUGUGCGAGUGUACCAGGAGAGAUAAGAGUAAGAAUGAAGUUUUCCUGUACAGAGUGGGAGUAGCCUCCGUGGAGGACAAGAUGCGAGAGUCGAGGCUGAGAUAGUUCAGACAUGUUAAGAGAAGAAGCAUUGAUGCCCCUGUUAAGAAGUGUAAGAGGUUGGCCAUGGCGAGUUUUAGAAGAGGUCGAGGUAGGCCUAAAAAAUACUGGGGAGAGGUGAUUAGACAGGACAUGACAUUGCUUCAGCUUACUGAGGACAUGACCCUUGAUAGGAGGGUGUGGAGGUUGAGGAUUAAGGUAAAAGGUUAGUGGGUAGUUUUUAGUUGCUCACCGAUAGUUUUAGUAGCACGCAUGUCCCUUUAUAUUCUUAGAUUUUUAUUACAUUAUGUGGUUUUGUUUGCCUCAGGUAUUGUAUCCCUUGUUACUAGUAUUUGGUACUAUUAUCCUUUAUCUCUCCCUUUUUCUUUUCUCUUCCCUCUUUUUUCCUUUCUUGCUAGCCACUUUUUCUUAUUACCCAUCCUGAGCCGAGUGUCUAUUAGAAACAACCUCUCUACCUGUUAGGUAGGGGUAAGGUCUGCGUAUAGAGUACCCUCCCCAGACAACACCUAGUGGGAACAUACUAGGUUUGUUCUUGUAGUUGUUGUAAAGACAACCAAAACCACGUAAAAGAUAAAAAAAUUAGUUGUCAAAAAGAAUUGAAAACUUUCCAAAGUAUGCAUUUUGACGGUUUGCUCUCAAAGAUUUACGAACUAUGGCUGAGUGGAAGAGGAAGAAGGAAUGCAGUGGAAUCUAUACAAAUUAAAUCUGGAAUGAUUCCUAAUUGAAUAGGAUCUCUUUAAGCAAUUAAACAGUUGGAACAUAACCCAUCCCAUUUCAAAUUUGACUAUUGGCGGGGAAUAUUUUGGUGUCUAUUUCAUACAUACAUGAUACUAAUAUACAUGAGAGAUAAUAAAAUUGAUAACGAAUCUGUGAAGUGGAAGGUCAUUUGGUAAUUUGUAAGGACCCGGCCGGUCGUUUUGAGAGUUUAAGCCCCGAUACCAUAUUAACUGCUUCCCCCGUAUCUAUUUCUACUAUUGUGACUUGUCGGGAGGCUUUGUUUUGGUUUUUGGAGUGUUUUGGGAUACUUAGUCCCCUAAAUGGAAGCUUAAGUCGUAAGAUUUUGACUGUAAUUAGAAUUGUGUGAAGAAAACUCCGGAAUGGAGUUCUGUCAACUUCAUCGGGUAAUUUUAGGCUUAGGGGUGUGUCCAGAUUGUGUUUUGGAGGUCCGUAGCUCAUUUAGACUUGAAAUGGAGAAAGUCGAACUUUGAAGAUUUAGACCAGUAGUGGAGUUUCUGAUAUCGGGUUCGGAAUCCUAUUCCGGAAGUUGGACCAAGUCCGUAGGGCUGAUUAUGACUUAUGUACAAAAUUUGAGGUCAUUGGUUUGAUAGGUUCCGGCAUCGGUUGUAGAAGUUUGAAAGUUUCAAGUUCUUUAAGUUUGAAUUGCAGGGUGAUUCGUGAUUUUAGCAUUGUUUGAUGUGGUUUGAGGCUUGACUAAGUUCGUAUUGUGUUUUAGGACUUGUUGGUAUAAUUGGUUGAGGUACCGAGGGCUUCGGGUGUGUUUCAGAUGCUUAACAUGUUGAAAUUUGGACUUAGGCAAUUGCUGAAGCUGCUGCACUUGGUGUAAUCACACCUGUGUACUUUGGGCAGCAGGUGCGGUGCCGCAGAAGCGACCAUGGAGCCACAUAAGUAGUUUUGGCCCUGACCUGCCGGGAUCGCAGGUGCAGCGAAUGGUCUGCAGAAGCGGAUGUGCAGAUGCAGUCCCAACCCAUUUAAGUUGCCUUCGCACCUAUGAUGGAUUUUCUACAGGUGCGGGACCGCAGAUGCGGUUGAAGGCUCGCAGAAGCGAAUUCUCUGCAGAAAAAAGGGAAAUUUUGAGGGUUUGAAUUCAUUCUUCAUUUUUGGACUUGAGAGCUCGAAAAUUUGUGAUUCUUCAAGAGAUUUUCAAAGAAAGCUUUGGGGUAACGAUUCCAAACUCGUUUUUGGUUGUAUUCCAUUAAUCCUUAGUUGUUUUCUUCAUUAAAUUAAGGAAUUUGGGUGAGAAGUUGGAAAAAUGGGGGAAAAGUUCUCCAACUGAAUUUCUGAGUUUUGAUUGGGAUUUAGACAUCGGAUUUGGAUGAUUUUGGUAUGAGUGAACUCGUGAGUGAAUGGGUAUUCAUAAUUUGUGACUUUUACCCGAUUCUGAAAAGUGGGACUGGGGAGGCUUUUUGGCCGAUUUUUCCAAUUUCUCACAUUAGCUUUGAUUUCAUUAGCUAGAUUAGUUUCUUGUAGUUAUAUUUAUGUUAUGUAAUUGAUUUUUGUUAGAUUUGUGUCAUUCGGAGCCAGAUAUUCAAUGGAAAGGCAUUGUGACAAAUUGAUUUGAGCUUGAUUUGAGGUAAGUGGCUUGCCUAACCUUGUGUGGGAAAACUCCUCUUGGGAUUUUGUUCUGUAUUGAUACGUGAGCGCCGUGCACGUGAGGUGACGAGUGCGUACAUGGGCUAUUUGUUCCAAAACUCCGUUUUUCAUUAAGUAAAAUACCUGUGUCCUUUUAACUAAACUACACUAGCAUAUGUAAUUAUCAUGUUUAGGUUAGGACAACAUAUUUACGUGUCUUAAUUGCUUAUUUGAACUCUGGGCAGCAUGCUUAGUGAAUCUCCUAUUCUUCCUUGACUUGUACUUAGUCUAAAUUGUUGGAUUCCGUGUUGUUGUUGUAUUUCUAUUAUUGAGCUGCAUAUUUACUUUGGAAAUACAGAACGGUAUUCCGGGAGAUCUCCCUAUACUGCAUAUUUUCUUUGGUACUACGGAACGGUAUUCUGGGAGACCCCCCUGCACUACAUAUUUACUUUGGGACUACAGAGCGGUAUUCUGGGAGAUCCCCUGCAUAUUUACAUUUGGGACUACGAGACGGUAUCUCAGGAGAACCCCUAUUAUUAUCCCUAUGUACUGAGCUAUUACCUUCUCUAAUUUCAUUCUGUUAAAUUUUAGUCUUUAUUUACUGUCGUAUUUCAUUCUGCCUUGCUUUAUUAUAUAUAUACCAGUAGGGCCUGACCUGACCUUGUCACUACUCAACUGAGGUUAGGCUUGACACUUACUUGGUACCGUUGUGGUGUACUCAUGCCCUUUCCCGCACAUGUUUUUCAUGUGCAGAUCCAGAUACCGCUUAUCAGUCGCAUUACCAGUGAGGCGAGACAGCUGUAGAGACUUCAAGGUAUAUCUGCCGCAUCAGCAGACCUUUGAGUCCCUAUCUACUCUUCCCUAUGUCAAACACUUCUUGUAUUUCCUUUGUUUAGACUCUGGAGUAUAGAAAUACUAUUUUCUUUCUGUAGCUUGUGACUUACAAUAUUCUGGGUUUUGGGAGAGUUUAUGUACAUUUCGAGAGUGAUUAUUGUAUAUGCUAGGCAGCAUCUUAAUUUCAUAUUUAAAUUUACUUGUUGGAUGUUAGCUUUUAUGUUUUUAUUUCAUUUUUGAAAAAUGUUAGGCUUACCUAGUUGUAGAGACUAGGUGCCGUCAUGAUGGUUCACAGAGGGAGAACUUGGGUCGUGACAAGUUGGUAUCACAGCGCUAGGUUCAUAGGAGUCGUGAGUCACAGUCAGUUUAUUAGAGUCUCACGAAUUAGUACGGAGACGUCUGUACUUAUCUUCGGGAGGCUAUGGAACUGUUAAGAAAAUUCCACUUCAUUUGAUUCCUUGUCGUGUGAGAUUAUUGACUUCAAAAUUCUAAACUUCUUUCUUCUAUUAUCUCAUAGAUGGCGAGGACACGUGCAACCGGAGAUGACCAGGCACCCAUGCCCCCUACUAGAGUCGCCCGAGGCUGGGGUAAAUGAUGAGGAUGCCCAUAAGGUGCAGCCAGAGCACCCGAGUGAGGUUCUAUAGAGGAGCCACAAGUAGCUCCAAUCAGAGUGCAGACACCUAAGGUGCCUACUACUACUACACCAGUCCUUUAGGAGACCCUUG